rnacentral:lncRNA from 1 species
GUGUGUCCUCGGCGGCCUGGCGCCGGCCGUCGCUGUACGGUGAGCCCCAGGGAGGCGGAUCUGGGCCCCGAGAAGGACCCCCGCCUGGAUUUGCCCCGUAGGCCCGGCCCGGGCCCCUCGGGAGCAGAACAGCUUUGGUGAGGUGGACAGGAGGUGACCUCGCGAGCAGACGCGCGCGCCAGCGACAGCAGCCCGCCCCGGCCUCUCGGGAGCCGUGGGGCAGAGGCUGCGGAGCCCCAGGAGGGUCUAUCAGCCACAGUCUCUGCAAGUUUCCAAGAGCAGCAGAAAAUGAACACAUUGCAGGGGCCAGUGUCAUUCAAAGAUGUGGCUGUGGAUUUCACCCAGGAGGAGUGGCAGCAACUGGACCCUGAUGAGAAGAUAGCAUACGGGGAUGUGAUGUUGGAGAACUACAGCCAUCUAGUUUCUGUGGGGUAUGAUUAUCACCAAGCCAAACAUCAUCAUGGAGUGGAGGUGAAGGAAGUGGAGCAGGGAGAGGAGCCGUGGAUAAUGGAAGGUGAAUUUCCAUGUCAACAUAGU